AGGAAAACUCCAACAGACGCCGUCGAAAACGUAGUGGCUUAUUGUAGUGAAACUUUGAAGCAAACUUAUAAGCUCUGAUUGCUCUUAGCCUGGGCUGCAUCUCUAUGCACCAGAGAAACGAUCUCAUUAACAAAGUAGUUCUGCGUGUCCUUAACACUGAGGCCCUAGACUGCAGCUGGAGGCAGUUCCCUACUCUGCCCGCAGUGCCAGGGACACAGGCAGCGACAUCAUCCGAGUACUAACUUCUACUACAUCCAGGCAGACUGCGAGAACCAUUUCCGAAUCGUGGGAAGACGUUAGAGAACCAAAGGGGUGGCUGCAAAGUUUUGGACAAGACCUCUACAGGCAACUGGAAGCACAGUGUACCCAGGUGGUGGGGCUCGUCUGUGGCAAUAUAUUUUUCAGUCUAUCCAAUUGAAUAUGGCUGCAAAGGGAA